rnacentral:rRNA from 1 species
UACAGAGGGUGCAAGCGUUAUCCGGAUUCACUGGGUUUAAAGGGUGCGUAGGCGGGUAGGUAAGUCCGUGGUGAAAUCUCUGAGCUUAACUCAGAAACUGCCGUGGAUACUAUUUGCCUUGAAUAUUGUGGAGGUGAGCGGAAUAUGUCAUGUAGCGGUGAAAUGCUUAGAUAUGACAUAGAACACCAAUUGCGAAGGCAGCUCACUACACAAUGAUUGACGCUGAGGCACGAAAGCGUGGGGAUCAAACAGG